rnacentral:tRNA from 1 species
GGGGCCAUAGCUCAGUGGUAGAGUGCUUGCCUAGCAUGCAUGAGGCACUGGGUUCAAUCCCCAGCACCA